AGUGAACGCUGGCGGUAGGCCUAACACAUGCAAGUCGAACGGCAGCACAGUAAGAGCUUGCUCUUACGGGUGGCGAGUGGCGGACGGGUGAGGAAUACAUCGGAAUCUACUUUUUCGUGGGGGAUAACGUAGGGAAACUUACGCUAAUACCGCAUACGACCUACGGGUGAAAGCAGGGGAUCUUCGGACCUUGCGCGAUUGAAUGAGCCGAUGUCGGAUUAGCUAGUUGGCGGGGUAAAGGCCCACCAAGGCGACGAUCCGUAGCUGGUCUGAGAGGAUGAUCAGCCACACUGGAACUGAGACACGGUCCAGACGCCUACGGGAGGCAGCAGUGGGGAAUAUUGGACAAUGGGCGCAAGCCUGAUCCAGCCAUACCGCGUGGGUGAAGAAGGCCUUCGGGCUGUAAAGCCCUUUUGUUGGGAAAGAAAAGCAGCAGGUUAAUACCCCGCUGUUCUGACGGUACCCAAAGAAUAAGCACCGGCUAACUUCGUG
rnacentral:rRNA from 1 species